UACGUAGGGCGCGAGCGUUGUCCGGAAUUAUUGGGCGUAAAGAGCUCGUAGGCGGCCUGUUGCGUCCGCUGUGAAAUCCCGGGGCUUAACCCCGGGCGUGCAGUGGAUACGGGCUGGCUGGAGGCAGGCAGGGGAGAACGGAAUUCCCGGUGUAGCGGUGAAAUGCGCAGAUAUCGGGAGGAACACCGGUGGCGAAGGCGGUUCUCUGGGCCUGUUCUGACGCUGAGGAGCGAAAGCGUGGGGAGCAAACGGG
rnacentral:rRNA from 1 species